AUGAUGCGGCAGCGAGAGAGAGUCCACGGUGAGCUCAGUUUUCUGACGAAAGUUCAGAGCUUGGAGAAAGUAAAUGGUGUGAAGAGUAAAUUGUGGCGUAGAAGCAAAAUGGAGAAGCUGGGUGUGGGGGGAAAUGGUGAUUCAAGAAAACAAUCAAGGCUAUUAGGACUUAGGAAGGAUUGUAGCAUUGGUGUAACUUUAUAA